GAUAACAAUUUAUUCCAUAAAAAUAAUAUUGCACCCAUCAUACAUCCAAACGCAUAUAGCCUAUGGAAACAGGCUGCCACACACCUAUAGAGUUCCAUUUUUAACAAGUCACACCUAUAGAGUUCAUUGGCAGUCACAUUGCAGAUUUUAAUUUAGACCAGACUCCAUACCACAAUUCAUAUCAGGGUCUCAAGUCGCACCGUAAGCCGUACCGUGGCCUAAGUUAGACCGGAUGCCAUAUCGCAGUCUCAAGUUAGACCGUACG
rnacentral:misc_RNA from 1 species